AAAGUGUUGUCAUUGUUAAAUAAAUUACGGAUGUGCGUCUUUGCGUCAAGGUCAUGAUUCUACAUAACAACAUCCGCUUGACCUCGCAAUGCCAAGAAGAAGAAAGGCGUGGAACAUUUGCUUAAGCCUGUUAAGAUCUUCAGCAGAUGUUUGAGAAAAAAGUCAUCAUCCUCUUCGUCACACUUCAUCCGUAUUUGGGGUAACAAGCACCUGCUUCCCACAAGAGACUGGACCGCUGAAGUCAGACCUGCACCUUCCUUGAACAUGUCGGUAUCUUACUCUGUAUUUGUUCACGGUGGUCACCCCAGGGUCUCAGGACUCAAAUUGAGUGCUCUAUGGAUUAAACAGAAAAUGCAGUAUAAACAAGUGUUAUGUUGUCUUGAACAUGUUGGUAACUUACUCUGUAUUUGUUCACGGUGGUCAUCCCAGGGUCUCAGGACUCAAAACGAUUGCUCUAUGGAUUGAACAUAAAAUGUAGAUCAACACUCCAACCAUCUGCAUUAGGGACUGAAUAAAGGAUGCCCUCUGUAGCUGGGAAUGUUAGAUCAGGCGGAUCAACAUUCCAUCCAUCUGCAUUAGGAUCUACCUUAGAGACACUCACUGGAGCUGUAAAUGGGAAGCAGGUCACUUACUUUGCAUUCGUCCUUGGUGGUCACCCCAGGGUCUCUAGAGUGAAAAUUACUCAAUCUAUGGAUUAAACAGAAAAUUUAGUUGUAUGAAGUGCAAUUUGGGACAUUCUUCCAGUUGUCAGCAACUUUGUGAAAAAGGCUGGAAACUUAAAUGCAGAAUUCUGGCCUGGUGUUUGGUCCGUGCUGUCUUUGACUCUUGCAUCUCCAUCAUCCUGACCCUCUUUAGCAGCCUGCCAUGUAUUUAUUUGGAGGCCACCAUGAGCACCCAUCUGCAUAAUAUGACUUUGUUACUCAGAUGUCCAUGCUCCUACAAAUUCUACAUUUUUUGUAAAGCUGCAACAAGUUGAAACCCUAUAAUUAUUAACGUUUGAUUUUGAAAUAUGUAAUUCAAAUACAUGAAUAAGUAACAAAAGCAGAAAUCUAUUAAGACAUUACCUUUUUGUUGCUUGUUUACUGAUCUAUCAAUCCUUUUGCAUUUUCAUAAUUGAUCAUCAUAACUUGGUAUACAGUGGAUGUGUGGCUGCAGAUAACUUUCUGAAGUCAAUUUAAAAAGACAAAAGUUAAUAAAUGCUGAAUUGGUCAAAUAUACAUUGUUGUAUUUUCACCAUUUUGAUGUUUAGGCAUUUCAUAACUUGAGGGUUAAUUCACGUAUACUGAUGUUUCAAAUCAAAGAUUAAUUUAUUAAUGACAGCUAAUCAUUUUAUAAAGAUUUUUAUUACAAUAUUUAUUUAUAUAAUAUCAAUUUAAUACAUUUAAUUCGUUACACCUACAUUACUGAGCGCAAGGGAGUGCAGCCAACAAAUACAUUCAGGUGUGUUCGACUUAAAACCGAGAUGCGCAGACAGCACGUGGUAUGACAUCAAAGUACCGCGAGAGUUUGGGAAAGCCCCGGAAAAGGUUUGAACUCGCGGUAUUUGAUGUCACGAUCGGUUUGCGUGUAGAUCAGCAUGAAGUCGAACACAUCUGAAAGAUGUGUGGGCUGCCUGCACUCAACGUUGCGAUAAUUCAGUAGAGUCUAACCUCAAUCGGUUUUUGCAGCUUCUGGGUGUCGUGUCGAACGAUCGCAGAACGAUAUUUUGUUCUUUUCCAACUCGAUUUUUAACUCCCUAAACUAGUAGGAUGUUCCAACGGGUGAAGCAACAGUGCUGACGGCAGAGUUUCAGUGUCAAUUUUUCAUGCCAUGAUCACUGGGGCGGAAACCAUGACGUUGCCUUGGACUUCAAACUAAACCAUCUCAUUCUGGCUUUUUUCUAACAUCGAAAUCUCAGAAGGACAGGACUAAGAUGGACGCAGCCUCCACAUGCAACCUUGCAUUUGAGGAACACCCAUAGAACGGUCAACUUACCCCAUACUCUAACCUGAAUGCAGGGAUCAUAAAACUUUAUCUUUUACCUUAAUUGUUAGAUGGGUGUUGAUACCAAACUUUUUUGUCUCGUCUACCCAGGAGAAAGUCAUGGGUUCUGCUGCUGAGGUUGUCAUAAAGCAUGCUUUUUCCAUUUGUUGCAUUGGGCAAUAUUAUCAAGAGAUUCUGAAAGAAAUAAGAUAAUUUUCAAAGCAUUAACAUGAAUAUGAAAGCAUUAAUUCAUUAAUGACCAUCUUUUAUUAUUGUUUAUUUACAGUGUCUUUUAUUCUGCUUACCUGACUCAUGCAGAAUUCUGGCUUGAUGUUUGGUCCACCUGUUAGCUGGCUCUGGUGCUUGGUAGUCUUCUCAAACCUCUGAAUCAAGGCCACCAUGAGAGGCCUUCUGAAGACCAUCAUUACGCUUCAGAUCCAGUUGUCUUUACUAUGAGCUUACCACAAUCCCUGUGCACCAGCUAUGGAAAGUGCAGACCAAACUUCUACCUCCACCUAUGGGACUGAACUGGAGUCUGUGAACUAAUGCUGUUUUCGAGACAACUUGGAUGUUGGAUAUUAUUGACAUCAAACCUGUAAGAAGUCUGGAACAGACUUCAACUUGGGACAGAUCCAUCAACACCGACCUCAACGAGAUGCAUCAUUUGACAUUGCAGACAAGUUGGUGGCUAGCCUUUCACAGCCUUACAUGAACCGCAAACAAACUUUAAACUAUUUUUACAGCACAUAAUAUUUAUGAACAUGAAUGUUAAAUUAUCCAGUAACCGUUUUCUGCCAUAAUUGGCACAAGAGCACAAACAACUUCUGGCGUCUCAUUAUGUGGUAAACACGCAAAUGUGAUAUGUGAUUGACUGGAAUGCAUUGAGGUCGGAGGUAGGAUAUUUAAUUACAUAACAUCAGAAAUCCGAGUUGUUUGUAACACUGCACAAUAUUUCACAUAAUUGUCACCACCUGAUUAUCCUCCCAUGUUUUUAACACAACCAUUGAUUGGUCACACGGAUGAAGGCAGCAAGCAGAGACAUUUGUCCUUUGUAUCUCUCAAAAAAAAAGAAAUAAAUCUAUAUUUAAUGUUAAAAACACUUACAGUAGACUGUGUUAGAUAACUGUGCUCUUGGAAGUCAGCUUAAGUCAACAAAUGGUAAUGUUUAUGAAAAGUUCAUUUUUGUCACAGUUGCAAACUAACCACCACACAGAAUAUGAAAAAUAGCCAGAACUGUGGUAAUAAGCUAGCCCUAAAAUGUUGUGAGAAUCUUGAUGUAUUGGACACAGGUGUGUAGUAUCUGUUAUAUAUUGACGGUUGACAGGUUUGUUUGCAUGUAAUUGCAUUAUUAUUAAUUUGGGGUUGAUAGUCCAAUGUUGAUUUGAGAGAUUUUUUUUUUUCUUGUUAGAUCCUUUCUCUUUUUAAUGCAGAACUUAAGGAUGAAGCACCCUGAUCUACUAAGAUGCACAGAUUCAACUCUGGCCCAGCAUCAUCCCCACACCUCAUCUGCCAUCAGUUUAAUUUAAUGUCUGUCAAUUGCAAAUGCUAUUUAUUUCAGUUAUAUUACAACUUAAUGUUAACUUUAAUUGAGACUAGUAUUGUGUAAAGCUGGGGUUUCCAAACUUUUAAUUUCAAAACCUAUUAGACAAGUGUAAUCUAUUCUAGACCCACUAAAAUAUUUUUUUUAUGGGGUAAAACACAUUUGUUCUCUUUCAGUGGAGUCAUUUUAUUUUCAUAAUAUUCCAUAAUGUAAAGCAGUGGUUCUUAACGUUAUUCCUCGAGGCCCAUUGCUCUGCACAUUUUGUAUGUCUUUUUUAUCUGACAGACUCGGUUCAGUUCAUUGAGAUCUCUUCUAAUGAGCUGAUGAUUUGAAUCAGGUGUGUUAAAUAAGGGAGACAUACAAAAUGUGCAGGGCUGUGGGCCUCGAGGAAUAAUGUUAAGAACCACUGAUGUAAAGUAAAUAUAAGUUUAUUUGCAAUACCAAAUAUUUUAUGGUAUAUUCUUUCAAAACCAUUGUCAUUGCAAACUGUUGUUGCAUCAUUAAGAUGUGCAACACACCUUAACCUACUGUAUGACCGACAAGUGGGUCCUCCUGACCCACAGUUUAAAAUCCCCUGGUGUACUGAAUGUUGUAUUGUAAUUAAAGUCGCAUCUAUGUCUUG